CAGUAGCUCAGCUGGAUAGAGCAACGGCCUUCUAAUCCGUAGGUCGGGGGUUCGAGUCCCUCCUGG
rnacentral:tRNA from 2 species